UACGGAGGGGGCUAGCGUUGUUCGGAAUUACUGGGCGUAAAGCGCACGUAGGCGGCUUUGUAAGUUAGAGGUGAAAGCCCGGAGCUCAACUCCGGAACUGCCUUUAAGACUGCAUCGCUCGAACGUCGGAGAGGUAAGUGGAAUUCCGAGUGUAGAGGUGAAAUUCGUAGAUAUUCGGAAGAACACCAGUGGCGAAGGCGACUAUCUGGACCGUUUCUGACGCUGAGGCGCGAAAGCGUGGGGAGCAAACAGG
rnacentral:rRNA from 1 species